ACAGCCUUGGAAACCCUAUGGGGGCAGUUCUACUCUGUCCUGUUGGGUUGCUGUGAGUCGGGAUCAACUCAAUGGCUAUGAGUAUUCACUGAGGACUACAUUCAAGUCACUGGAUUAAGUAUUUUAAUUCCCCAACAUCCUGGUGCUGAAAAAGAUUGUCAUUUCUGGUUAGCACGCUGAGAGGGAAGCAAUGAGGAACGUGACUCAGCCAGCACAAUGAAAGACCUGAGAUUUGAAAACGGCUUGAUCCUAGCAACACUGUGCUGAGAUUACGUGGAGAAGACAGCCAACUUGUAUAGACGGAGCCGUGUGCCCUUGGAAUCCCCUCCAGUUUGGAAUUGGUGUGAUUCCUACACCACAUACUGAAAGUGCCGUCUGAGCUCACUGAUUUGAGGUCCGUAGGAGACUGUUCCUUCAGAGAAGUUCCUAGAUGUUUUCCAGACCAUUUACUCAACUGAUUCCACUCACAUUUAUUGGAUGUGUAUGUGCUGGGCACUGGUUACGCAAAAUGAUAAAUAAGACAGUCUCUGUCUCUGUCAGUUCCUUUCUUUCUUUCUUUUUAUUGUGC